UUCGACCCCGAUUUUAACUUGACAACGUUUCCUCCGUGUUUUCGAUUUGCCAGGAGAAUAAUAAUAAUUGUCUGUGUAUAUACAUAUAUAUAUAUAUAUAUAUUAUCCUAUACCGUAUAUGUAAUAAUUCUUGGUCUCGUGGGAAGUGCCAGGUGCGCGACGCGUUGCGUAUUUAGCAAACGAUGAAACCGCGGGGCAAUGGCGAAAGAGAGAGAAAGAAAGAAAGAAAGA